AAAAGCUUCCAAUCUUCCCUUUGAUUCCCAUGUGCUUUUUCUUUCGAUUCGUGGUUCAUUAACGAGGUUCUCUACCGUUGUAGAAGCCUAAUGGUCCCAAACCACAGCCACCGAAAUCGUCUUCCAAGUCGCCCUCCUCAACUCAGGAUGAGAUCGAGAUAUGGCUGAGAGUCACCAAGAACAAAAGUACCAGAUAGAUCUGAUGCUCCUCCUGCUACGUUAAGAUCAUCCCCAGAAAGAGAUUUUGAGAUUGAAUAUGUGACCGUAGAUGCUAAAUCCUCCUCGGCUCUCUCUGUUUUGGUUUUUUUAAGUCUCUAUCUUGUCUCUCUUGUUUUCCUCUAUUUUCAUUCACUCAAGGACACAAAAAAGUGUGCUUCCACCUAUUUCUGGCUCGGGAGAACUGAAUAUCGCUACUCUUUCAGAGAUUGCAAAAAACAUGGUGGUAUCAUGAGAUUCAUUCAAGUUUCUUACUUAGGGGCAUCUCCAUCUUCUCCAUCUAGAUUGCUAAAAGCUAAAGCUGCAACAAAGGUAGCCGUUUUGACAGAAUUUCCAGAGGUCAAUUCUUUAGAUACUCUACUUCUCAAAACCUUUACAGUUCGAAGCUCUUAUACACAAUCCUAAAGUUGUUCACAAAUUAUUGGUGGUGUAUAUGGAUCAAUGGUUCCCAACAACUAGGUAAUGCAUAUCGGUCAAAAUAACAAUAUCAAUGAAGUACUAUUAUUGUUGUACAUGAUGAUAUGUGAAUGUAUAAAUACCAAGAAAUAAUUCACCUUGAAACAACUGUAAACCUUUGUUGGAUAUUCUGAAAUUAACAAACAACUCAUUAUUUUUCAUUGCAUGUAAAUGUUACCGUACAUCCCGCAUAAGGAAAUUGGCCUUCAAAAUGAUAAGCUGUAUAAGGUGUCCUUGGCACCUUGUGCAAAUCUAUAG